rnacentral:rRNA from 1 species
GUGUCAGCCGCCGCGGUAAUACGUAGGGUGCAAGCGUUAAUCGGAAUUACUGGGCGUAAAGCGUGCGCAGGCGGUUUUUUAAGCCAGAUGUGAAAUCCCCGGGCUCAACCUGGGAACUGCAUUUGGGACUGGAAGGCUAGAGUAUGGCAGAGGGGGGUGGAAUUCCACGUGUAGCAGUGAAAUGCGUAGAGAUGUGGAGGAACACCGAUGGCGAAGGCAGCCCCCUGGGCCUAUACUGACGCUCAUGCACGAAAGCGUGGGGAGCAAACAGGAUUAGAUACCCUGGUAGUCCACGCCCUAAACGAUGUCAACUGGUUGUUGGGGAAGUGAUUCCUCAGUAACGAAGCUAACGCGAGAAGUUGACCGCCUGGGGAGUACGGCCGCAAGGUUAAA